GAAUUGAUAUAAUUAGAAAAGUUACCUUGGCUUAAUCUAUAGCCGUUUUCAAGCAUACAAGUGAGAUCUAUCUCUGCAAGGUUUUUCCUCCAUGAAUGCUACUUGCAAAUCAGGUAUUCUGCAGACGUUUAGGAGUCCCAGAUUCCUACAUGAUACAGUCAUUCUGAAAUUGUAUUUGUGUUCAGUUUGAAGGGGUCUAUCAUAAUCACCCAACGUUUUUCAUGGUUAAAAUGCAGCAUUGCAGACCAAACUCUUGCCACAGCGUGGAGUUCGAUCUUGGCGGGGCUCAAAUUUGACUCAGCCUUCCACC